GACGAAGGUGGCAAGCGUUGUUCGGAAUCACUGGGCUUAAAGCGCACGUAGGCGGCUCAUCAAGUGUCUUGUGAAAUCCCUCGGCUCCAACCGAGGAAUUGGCUGGGCAUACUGAUCGGGCUUGAGGCAGGUAGAGGUGAGUGGAACUCUUGGUGGAGCGGUGGAAUGCGUAGAUAUCAAGAGGAACGCCGGAGGUGAAGACGAUUCACUGGGCCUGUCCUGACGCUGAGGUGCGAAAGCCAGGGGAGCAAACGGG
rnacentral:rRNA from 1 species